UUGAAUGAACUUGGUGUGGUUGUUGCUGGCCCUUUUGGGGGCAUGUGCACACCCACCAUCCUCAUCUCUCCACCUGUGCACUUCUUGUAGACUUCAGUCUAUGUUUUUUUCAUACACUCCAUAGCAUGUAACAGAAUGCAUCAUUUAGGCCCUCAUGCCUAUAAACCUUAUA
rnacentral:misc_RNA from 1 species